rnacentral:rRNA from 1 species
AACCUUUGCAAUGUGCGCAAGCACGACAAGGUUAAUCCGAGUGUUUCCUGCUAAAGGAAUCUUUUGCUAGUCCUAAAAACACUAGCGAAUAAGGGGUGGGCAAGUUCUGGUGUCAGCCGCCGCGGUAAAACCAGCACCUCAAGUGGUCAGGAGGAUUAUUGGGCCUAAAGCAUCCGUAGCCUGCUCUGUAAGUUUCCGGUUAAAUCCAUUAGCUUAACUGAUGGGCCGCCGGAAAAACUGCAAAGCUAGGGAGUGGGAGAGGUAGACGGUACUCGGUAGGAAGGGGUAAAAUCCUUUGAUCUAUUGAUGACCACCUGUGGCGAAGGCGGUCUACCAGAACACGUUCGACGGUGAGGGAUGAAAGCUGGGGGAGCAAACCGGAUUAGAUACCCGGGUAGUCCCAGCUGUAAACGAUGCAGACUCGGUGAUGCCCUGGCUUGUGGCCAGUGCAGUGCCGCAGGGAAGCCGUUAAGUUUGCCGCCUGGGAAGUACGUACGCAAGUAUGAAACUUAAAGGAAUUGGCGGGGGAGCAC